rnacentral:misc_RNA from 1 species
GAUGAAGAACGCAGCGAAAUGCGAUAAGUAGUGUGAAUUGCAGAAUUCAGUGAAUCAUCGAAUCUUUGAACGCACAUUGCGCCCCUUGGUAUUCCAUGGGGCAUGCCUGUUCGAGCGUCAUUUGUACCUUCAAGCUUUGCUUGGUGUUGGGUGUUUGUCUCGCCUCUGCGUGUAGACUCGCCUCAAAACAAUUGGCAGCCGGCGUAUUGAUUUCGGAGCGCAGUACAUCUCGCGCUUUGCACUCAUAACGACGACGUCCGAAAGUACAUUUUUACACUCUUGACCUCGGAUCAGGUAGGGAUACCCGCUGAACUUAAGCAUAUCAAUAAGCGGAGGA